rnacentral:rRNA from 1 species
AGGGUUUGAUCCUGGCUCAGGAUGAACGCUAGCGGCAGGCCUAACACAUGCAAGUCGAGGGGCAGCGAGGCGGAAGCUUGCUUCCGCUGUCGGCGACCGGCGCACGGGUGCGUAACGCGUAUGUAACCUACCUUAUACAGGAGGAUAACCCGGAGAAAUUCGGACUAAUACUCCAUAGGUAUAUUUUCGGCAUCGGAGAUAUAUGAAAGAUUCAUCGGUAUAAGAUGGACAUGCGUGACAUUAGCUGGAUGGUGAGGUAACGGCUCACCAUGGCGACGAUGUCUAGGGGUUCUGAGAGGAAGGUCCCCCACACUGGUACUGAGACACGGACCAG